GAAAAGUAAUACAAUAUCGCACAGCUUUCUGAUUGGACCUUUUUACCUGCUUCUGUUAUUCAAACGAAAACUUUGACAGAAACAAAUUGGACCUCGUACCUCGAAGUGAAAAAAAGAAAAUGGAAUUCGUUUCGUCUAAUCUCGAUGCCGCAGAUAACGCCAGCCGAAGUCCAAAAAAUAUAAAUCAAAUGGAAAUCUUUUAUAGCGAUUUGUGUGAAGAUUUCAGAUGUUAAUUCGUCAUUUGACAGUCAAUACCAUCCCCGGCCAUGUCACUACCGUUCUACUGACGGAGGUUCACCUCGUCCUGGUCCUUUUUUUUCCAGUCUAUGCCAUCAGUAGUCGGUGUCACC